rnacentral:rRNA from 1 species
CCGAGUUUACAACUCCCAAACCCAAUGUGAACGUUACCAAACUGUUGCCUCGGCGGGAUCUCUGCCCCGGGUGCGUCGCAGCCCCGGACCAAGGCGCCCGCCGGAGGACCAACCAAAACUCUUAUUGUAUACCCCUCGCGGGUUUUUUUAUAAUCUGAGCCUUCUCGGCGCCUCUCGUAGGCGUUUCGAAAAUGAAUCA